GUCGGAGUGGCGGAAUGGCAGACGCGCAUGGUUGAGGGCCAUGUGCCCGCGAGGGCGUGGGGGUUCAAGUCCCCCCUCCGACA
rnacentral:tRNA from 1 species